AUUUGGCAGAACAGACUUUUUCUGAGUAUAGUAAUACUCCUUCCACAGGUACCUCUUCAACUGCGGAGAAGGUGUCCAGCGACUUAUGCAGGAACACAAACUGAAAGUCGCUCGCUUGGACAACAUAUUUCUGACUCGGAUGCAUUGGUCAAAUGUUGGGGGGUUGUGUGGAAUGAUUCUAACUUUAAAGGAAACUGGGCUUCCCAAAUGUGUUCUUUCUGGACCUCCACAACUGG